ACACUCCUGCGGGAGGCAGCAGUGGGGAAUAUUGCACAAUGGGCGCAAGCCUGAUGCAGCCAUGCCGCGUGUAUGAAGAAGGCCUUCGGGUUGUAAAGUACUUUCAGCGGGGAGGAAGGCAAUACGGUUAAUAACCGUGUUGAUUGACGUUACCCGCAGAAGAAGCACCGGCUAACUCCGUGCCAGCAGCCGCGGUAAUACGGAGGGUGCAAGCGUUAAUCGGAAUUACUGGGCGUAAAGCGCACGCAGGCGGUCUGUCAAGUCGGAUGUGAAAUCCCCGGGCUCAACCUGGGAACUGCAUUCGAAACUGGCAGGCUUGAGUCUUGUAGAGGGGGGUAGAAUUCCAGGUGUAGCGGUGAAAUGCGUAGAGAUCUGGAGGAAUACCGGUGGCGAAGGCGGCCCCCUGGACAAAGACUGACGCUCAGGUGCGAAAGCGUGGGGAGCAAACAGGAUUAGAUACCCGUGUAGUCCCA
rnacentral:rRNA from 1 species